rnacentral:miRNA from 1 species
CCAGGCUCUGAAGGGAAAGUUGAAUCU